UACACACCGCCCGUCACACCAUGGGAGUCAGUUGCUCCAGAAGUCGGUGACCCAACCGCAAGGAGGGAGCCGCCUAAGGAGUGACUGGUAACUGGGGUG
rnacentral:rRNA from 1 species